UUUAAUUUUCAUACUAGUAACGUUUUAUAUUUGUAUAUAAAUUAUACUAAUAUAAAUUUUAGUUGGGGCAACUGAGGAGUAAAAAAUAAUCUCCUUAUUAUACAACAAAAUGAUAAUUAGAUGAUCCUUUUAUAAAGAUUAAUAAAUAUAAUUAC
rnacentral:rRNA from 1 species